AUCAAUAAGCGGAGGAAAAGAAACUAACAAGGAUUCCCCUAGUAGCGGCGAGCGAAGCGGGAAGAGCUCAAAUUUAUAAUCUGGCACCUUCGGUGUCCGAGUUGUAAUCUCUAGAAAUGUUUUCCGCGCUGGACCGCACACAAGUCUGUUGGAAUACAGCGGCAUAGUGGUGAGACCCCCGUAUAUGGUGCGGAUGCCCAGCGCUUUGUGAUACAUUUUCGAAGAGUCGAGUUGUUUGGGAAUGCAGCUCAAAUUGGGUGGUAAAUUCCAUCUAAAGCUAAAUAUUGGCGAGAGACCGAUAGCGAACAAGUACCGUGAGGGAAAGAUGAAAAGCACUUUGGAAAGAGAGUUAACAGUACGUGAAAUUGUUGGAAGGGAAACGCUUGAAGUCAGACUUGCUUGCCGAGCAAUCGGUUUGCAGGCCAGCAUCAGUUUUCCGGGAUGGAUAAUGGUAGAGAGAAGGUAGCAGUUUCGGCUGUGUUAUAGCUCUCUACUGGAUACAUCUUGGGGGACUGAGGAACGCAGUGUGCCUUACGGCGGGGGUUUCGACCUCUUCACACUUAGGAUGCUGGUGGAAUGGCUUUAAACGACCCGUCUUGAAAC
rnacentral:rRNA from 1 species